UACGAGAGGGGCGAGCGUUAUUCGGAAUGAUUGGGCGUAAAGAGCACGUAGACUGUUUUAGAAAAAUCCCCAUAUAAAAAAAAAUCAAGGCUUAACUUUGAAAAAUUAUAGUGUUGGAUUCCUAAACUUGAGUGAGUAAGAGGAGAAUGGAAUUCCUGGUGUAGAGGUAAAAUUUGUUGAUAUCAGGAGGAACACCUAAAGCGAAGGCAAUUCUCUGGUACUCCACUGACGUUGAGGUGCGAGAGCGUGGGGAUCAAACAGG
rnacentral:rRNA from 1 species